AGAUUGAACGCUGGCGGCAGGCCUAACACAUGCAAGUCGAGCGGUAGAGAGGUGCUUGCACCUCUUGAGAGCGGCGGACGGGUGAGUAAUGCCUAGGAAUCUGCCUAGUGGUGGGGGAUAACGUUCGGAAACGGACGCUAAUACCGCAUACGUCCUACGGGAGAAAGCGGGGGACCUUCGGGCCUCGCGCCAUUAGAUGAGCCUAGGUCGGAUUAGCUAGUUGGUGAGGUAAUGGCUCACCGAAGGCGACGAUCCGUAACUGGUCUGAGAGGAUGAUCAGUCACACUGGAACUGGAGACCACGGUCCAGACCUCCGUACGGGAGGCAGCAGGUGGGAAUAGUAGGACAAGUGGGACGAAAGCCUAGACUCCAGCCAUCGCCGCGUGUGUGAAGUAAGGUC
rnacentral:rRNA from 1 species